rnacentral:rRNA from 1 species
CCUCGCUUUUCUGUACCGUAAGGUGGUACAAGAAUAAGUGCUGGGCAAGACCGGUGCCAGCCGCCGCGGUAAUACCGGCAGCACAAGUGAUGGCCGCUCUUAUGUGGCCUAAAGCGUCCGUAGCUGGCCGCGCAAGUCCAUCGGGAAAUCCGCACGCUUAACGUGCGGGCGUCCGGUGGAAACUGCGUGGCUUGGGACCGGAAGAUCCAGAGGGUACGUCCGGGGUAGGAGUGAAAUCCUGUAAUCCUGGACGGACCACCGGUGGCGAAAGCGCUCUGGAAAGACGGAUCCGACGGUGAGGGACGAAAGCUCGGGCCACGAACCGGAUUAGAUACCCGGGUAGUCCGAGCUGUAAACGAUGUCUGCUAGGUGUGCCACAGGCUACGAGCCUGUGGUGUGCCGUAGGGAAGCCGUGAAGCAGACCGCCUGGGAAGUACGUCCGCAAGGAUGAAACUUAAAGGAAUUGGCGGGGGAGCACUACAACCGGAGGAGCCUGCGGUUUAAUUGGACUCAACGCCGGACAUCUCACCAGCAUCGACAGUAGCAAUGAAGAUCAGUGUGAUGAGCUUAUCGGAGCUACUGAGAGGAGGUGCAUGGCCGCCGUCAGCUCGUACCGUGAGGCGUCCUGUUAAGUCAGCCAACGAGCGAGACCCGCACUCCUAAUUGCCAGCAAUACCCUUGUGGUAGUUGGGUACAUUAGGAGGACUGCCAGUGCCAAACUGGAGGAAGGAACGGGCAACGGUAGGUCAGUAUGCCCCGACUGUGAUGGGCAACACGCGGGCUACAAUGGUCGAGACAGUGGGACGCAACCCCGAGAGGGGGCGCUAAUCUCCGAAACUAGAUCGUAGUUCGGAUUGCGGACUGAAACUCGUCCGCAUGAAGCUGGAUUCGGUAGUAAUCGCCGUUCAGAAGACGGCGGUGAAUACGUCCCUGCUCCUUGCACACUCCGCCCGUCAAAGCACCCGAGUGAGGUCCGGAUGAGGCCCCUGUACAGGGGUCGAAUCUGGGCUUCGCAAGG